ACGAAGAUGAUGCCAGCGUCAGUGAUUGAAAAGUCGAAUCCUUGAAAACCAAAAGAUUUCGCCAUCUAGGUACCACUUGCAUUAUAAUCAACCGAUUUGAAUUUGACAAAUAACUAUAUUCAGAUUCGAGUUACAUUCUAUAUGUAUAUACAUGUACAUUCCCAAGAAUUUCUACUCUUCCGCCAAAGGAUUGUUGGUGCACAAAGUUCGGGUUUUCAUGGUAGCCUCUCUCUCUCUCUCUCUCUCUCUCUCUUUUCUAGGUCUGAUGCGGGGAAUAUAUGGGCUGGCCCGGCUGGGUAUGCU
rnacentral:lncRNA from 1 species